rnacentral:rRNA from 1 species
CCUUCGGGUGGCAGCAGUGAGGAAUAUUGGUCAAUGGGCGAGAGCCUGAACCAGCCAAGUCGCGUGAAGGAUGACGGCCCUACGGGUUGUAAACUUCUUUUGUCAGGGAGCAAUUGAGUCCACGUGUGGGCUUAGCGAGAGUACCUGAAGAAAAAGCAUCGGCUAACUCCGUGCCAGCAGCCGCGGUAAUACGUAGGAGGCAAGCGUUAUUCGGAAUGACUGGGCGUAAAGGGUGCGUAGGUGGUUUGACAAGUUAGUAGCGCAACUCCGGAGCUCAACUUCGGAAGUACUACUAAAACUGUUGGACUUGAGUGCAGGAGGGGCAAUCGGAAUUCCUAGUGUAGCGGUGGAAUGCGUAGAUAUUAGGAGGAACACCAGUGGCGAAGGCGGAUUGCUAGACUGUAACUGACACUGAGGCACGAAAGCGUGGGGAGCAAACAGGAUUAGAUACCCGAGUAGUC